UUCAGUGAAGUCCUUAAGUUUGGUGAAUCGCCAUACCUAUUGGGUUGAUACAUAUCCAUCCAUCAUGAAAUUGUUGAUGGCUAGGAUUUGCACCAAACCUUUCUGAUGAGCAACAUUUGACUGCCACUGAAUAAUGUGGUUGAGGCGAAAAGGGUCAGGUCUCUGAAGAUGAUCUUGAAAUUCAGGACAUCCUUGAAGUGGGAGAUCUUUAGGAACAUGGCCAAGCCAGUGUGACAUACCCAAGCCAAGAAAACAUCAAACUUGCAGUGAGACCUGCUUGCAAAAUGAUUGAAAUUUGAUAUUGCCUUCAAAGCAAAUUGAGCACAGCUGGAGUGUUUACCAACAUAUCUGGAAAAACAACCUCUUAAAAAUAAGGUACCUAUCUGCCAGAAGAUCACUCUUUAUUUUCUUUCUUUGAAAUUGUCAUGAAGCUUUGACUCCAGAUAAGAAAACUAUAAUGAAAUAAAGGA
rnacentral:lncRNA from 1 species